UACGUAGGCAGCGAGCGUUGUUCGGAAUUACUGGGCGUAAAGAGUGUGUAGGCGGUGCUCCCAGUCUGUUGUGAAAUCUCCCGGCUAAACUGGGAGGGUGCAGCGGAAACUAGAGUGCUAGAGGGUGGGAGAGGUAAGCGGAAUUCCUGGUGUAGCGGUGAAAUGCGUAGAUAUCAGGAGGAACACCUGUGGUGUAGACAGCUUACUGGACCACUUCUGACGCUGAGACACGAAAGCGUGGGUAGCAAACAGG
rnacentral:rRNA from 1 species